AGAGUUUGAUCAUGGCUCAGAUUGAACGCUGGCGGCAUGCUUUACACAUGCAAGUCGAGCGGCAGCGCGGGGCAACCUGGCGGCGAGCGGCGGACGGGUGAGUAAUGCAUCGGAACGUAUCCCGUAGUGGGGGACAACCCAGCGAAGGCUGGGCUAAUACCGCAUAUGCUCUACGGAGGAAAGUGGGGGACCCGCAAGGGCCUCACGCUAUGGGAGCGGCCGAUGUCCGAUUAGCUAGUUGGUGGGGUAAAGGCCUACCAAGGCGACGAUCGGUAGCUGGUCCGAGAGGAUGAUCAGCCACACUGGGACUGAGACACGGCCCAGACUCCUACGGGAGGCAGCAGUGGGAAUUUUGGACAAUGGGGGCAACCCUGAUCCAGUCAUGCCGCGUGCGGGAAGAAGGCCUUCGGGUUGUAAACCGCUUUUGUUCGGGAAGAAAAGGCACGUCCUAAUACGGCGUGUUCUUGACGGUACCGGAAGAAUAAGCACCGGCUAACUACGUG
rnacentral:rRNA from 1 species